rnacentral:rRNA from 1 species
ACGAACGCUGGCGGCACGCUUAACACAUGCAAGUCGAACGAGAGAAGAGAAGCUUGCUUUUCUGAUCUAGUGGCGGACGGGUGAGUAACACGUGAGCAAUCUGCCUUUCAGAGGGGGAUACCGAUUGGAAACGAUCGUUAAUACCGCAUAAUAUAAUUGAACCGCAUGAUUUGAUUAUCAAAGAUUUAUCGCUGAAAGAUGAGCUCGCGUCUGAUUAGCUAGUUGGUAAGGUAACGGCUUACCAAGGCGACGAUCAGUAGCCGGACUGAGAGGUUGAUCGGCCACAUUGGGACUGAGACACGGCCCAGACUCCUACGGGAGGCAGCAGUGGGGAAUAUUGCACAAUGGAGGAAACUCUGAUGCAGCGAUGCCGCGUGAGGGAAGAAGGUUUUAGGAUUGUAAACCUCUGUCUUCAGGGACGAAAAAAGACGGUACCUGAGGAGGAAGCUCCGGCUAACUACGUGCCAGCAGCCGCGGUAAUACGUAGGGAGCGAGCGUUGUCCGGAAUUACUGGGUGUAAAGGGAGCGUAGGCGGGAUCGCAAGUCAGAUGUGAAAACUAUGGGCUUAACCCAUAAACUGCAUUUGAAACUGUGGUUCUUGAGUGAAGUAGAGGUAAGCGGAAUUCCUAGUGUAGCGGUGAAAUGCGUAGAUAUUAGGAGGAACAUCAGUGGCGAAGGCGGCUUACUGGGCUUUAACUGACGCUGAGGCUCGAAAGCGUGGGGAGCAAACAGGAUUAGAUACCCUGGUAGUCCACGCCGUAAACGAUGAUUACUAGGUGUGGGGGGACUGACCCCUUCCGUGCCGCAGCAAACGCAAUAAGUAAUCCACCUGGGGAGUACGACCGCAAGGUUGAAACUCAAAGGAAUUGACGGGGGCCCGCACAAGCAGUGGAGUAUGUGGAUUAAUUCGAAGCAACGCGAAGAACCUUACCAGGUCUUGACAUCGUAUGCAUAGCUCAGAGAUGAGUGAAAUCUCUUCGGAGACAUAUAGACAGGUGGUGCAUGGUUGUCGUCAGCUCGUGUCGUGAGAUGUUGGGUUAAGUCCCGCAACGAGCGCAACCCUUACUGUUAGUUGCUACGCAAGAGCACUCUAGCAGGACUGCCGUUGACAAAACGGAGGAAGGUGGGGAUGACGUCAAAUCAUCAUGCCCCUUAUGACCUGGGCCUCACACGUACUACAAUGGCUGUUAACAGAGGGAUGCAAAGCCGCGAGGUGGAGCGAACCCCUAAAAGCAGUCUUAGUUCGGAUUGUAGGCUGCAACCCGCCUACAUGAAGUCGGAAUUGCUAGUAAUCGCAGAUCAGCAUGCUGCGGUGAAUACGUUCCCGGGCCUUGUACACACCGCCCGUCACGCCAUGGGAGUCGGUAACACCCGAAGCCUGUAGUCUAACCGCAAGGAGGACGCAGUCGAAGGUGGGAUUGGUGACUGGGGUG